CCCUUGGUGGACUAGUGGUUAGGCCUCGGAGCUCUCACCACCAUGGACUGAGUUCAAUUCCUGGCUAGGGAA